ACGCGGAUGUAUUAUGACUGGAUAUGACCUCUCCAAAAAACAACGGCUGUGUCAGGAACAGGAGGAGAACCUCGUCCUGAAAUGAGCAAAGUCAAAGGCCCGGUUCUUUUAGACCGGAUGGGGGGAGAGGCCUUACAACGCCCUAAUGUGCCCCCACAGCCCUGUUAGGGACAGGAGGAAAACCUCGCCCUAACUUGAGCAAAGUCGAAGGCCCAGUUCUUUUAGACCGGAUGGGGGGAAAGGC
rnacentral:lncRNA from 1 species